rnacentral:lncRNA from 1 species
GCAAUGACAAACUGCAUAGUACAUACAAUGUCUCCAACUCCAUGUCUAGAUGACACAAUGACAAUAAUCACCUCAACCAGUGAUUAACCCUGCCUUCUUCACCAUAGCAGCAUGAUUAUGGUCACUAAGGUGAGUAUUUAAAUUUGCCUGGCUAUUACACACCACAUUGCAUAAAGUGCACAUUUUAAUAUCAUUAACUGCAGCUCCUCUUUCCACAGCUUUACGUUUCUCUGCCUCGAUAUCAAGUUCUGGUACCUGCUUUGCUUUUAGGUUAUCGGAAUCUGGUUUUUCCUGUGUCUCAAUUAUAGUAAUUGUUGCG